GCGGGGCUGGUGGGAGCGAGGGUCUUCCACGGAGCGGGUUCGGGGCAAAGCUGCCUGCCUGCAGCAGAGAUUAAAGGCACUGGCUGGACACUGGGGAAAGCAAUGCUUUUGGCUGCUUUGUGUGCACUUGUUAUUCUUGAAGCUCACAGUGAUGUGACAACAAUAGACAAGAGAGUGUGUGACUCCGUUAUUUUUGAUCUUCACUAUCCCCAGUUGGACCAGCUUUCUCGGAUCACCUGGUACAAGGGAAAUACAUCCUUAAAGCACUGGACACGUGGCAACGCAGUGUCCAGCCAAAGGAUUCAUGUCUAUCCUAAUGGGGCAUUAGGGAUUCGCAGUGUAGUGAAAGAGGAUGUGGGGUGGUACACGGCGAUUGUGCGCAACAGCUCUGAGCAUCUCCUUUACCAAAAAGUAUUUCAGCUACGUGUACAUGCAGAGCACCUUGUCAGAAGACUUGUCGGUGACUGCUUUACUUUUGACCUGAACUGCCUGCAGCCAGACAGGUACAUCCAUGUCACCUGGAAGAAAGGUGAGCAGCGAGUGGCCAAGAUGAGAGGGCAGAGAGUAGAUGUCUCUGCAAGCUACCGUAACAGAGCCCAUGCAUUCCUGAAUGGCAGCYUGACUUUGUGCCCCAUGCAAUGGGGAGACAAGGGCAAGUAUGUGGCGGAAAUAUUUGAUCAGGAUGGUGUGCACAUGCAUCAUGAAAUUAUUAACCUGGAACUGAACAUUUGGAUAAGAGUACCCAGAGUACCAAGCUUUCGGCACAUGAGUUCAAGCCUAACAGAUGAGAGAGAUAAUCCUGAGAAACCUGAAGAAACGGAUGAAAACAGUCUUUGUUUACAAAAUGAUGAAAACUCUAGUGUGCAGGGACCAGAUGGUACAAGCUGCACUGAGCAAAGAAGUGAAGCUGGAAAAAGGCUCGAAUUGCCACACCUCAAUGGUAUGAAAGCUGGAAAGCCUCCUGCUUCAGUUAGUGAGGUGUGUGUUGCUCCACACUUUGAGAACAUCCCUCCAGGAUCUGAGGACUGUGUUCUUCCAGAAUUUGAUUACCCCCUUCCCUCAGUGUAUGAUGGCUGCCUUUCUCCAGAAUUUGAUCUCUGCAGUCCUCCAGGAUCUGAGGAUUUGAAGGAAGAUGACUAUGUUGCUAUGCAUGAUAUAGUUUUUGUCUCUCCAGGAGCUAGAGAGGCAUGGGAAAGGAGUGAAGACAACUUCAUUCAGUAUGCUUCUAUCAAGUAGAAUGCAAGAGGAUUCCCACAGGAUGAGUCUGGAAACUCAAUUUCCAGUUCUUCCCAUUAGAUUUGCCAGGAAAUAUGUUUGCAGCAUUGGACUGAAAUUUGGACUCUCUCUUUCUCUUUUGGCUGGUCUUGAGCCAACCUUGAAGUUCUGCUGUUAGUUUCUCAUUUGGAUAAAUCUGAUUCUUGAUUUGCUUUGUAGAUUUGGCUGGAAGCCUAAUGGGAAAUCUCUCUGUGGAUCAGUUUGUUUUCCACAGCUGGGGCCCAUCUAUUCCCUUUGUUUUGCUGAAGGUCUUCCAGGAUGACCCAUUAGGAGCCCCGUGUAAAGCAGACAGGAGAAUUAACCCUAAGAAUAGUUCAUCCCAGGCCUCUCUUGUUUGCUUCCACUAGGAGGUGUCAUCGUAGGAAAGAGAAGGGCCUCAGGGAUUUCUGGAGGCCAGGUCUGGGCCCUGACCUCCCGUCCUUGUCUCCUGUUGUGUGGAAGAUGCACCUGAGUGAAUUGGUAGAUAUAAGCAUAAAUUUUCCUCUGCUGUUUGCUUAGAAGAAUGUGCCACUUAGGUGGAAGUCAGUCAAAAGUAUAUUACGAGAAGGGAAUUGCACUGAAGAACAUGCAGCAAGUUUUACUUGGGGAACUGUUGUUUUAGAAGAAAAAAGGAAAAGUAAAGGAAAGAAAUGAGAGCAUUGCUAGCAAAUGGGUUUAGCCAUAAAUGUAAUUGCCUUUAAAGAACAGCCUUGGUAAUUAGAUACAUUUUCUGCAAUGCCUGUAUUAAACUUAGUGAUCUUAAAUGGUGUGUAAUUGUUUUCAUAGAUUGCUUUUAAAUCUUACAGAUUGCUUCUUUUAGGUUUGAUGAACUAACUUUUUUUACAGAAUGUUGAAUAAAAGUAUUUUUUCUUAUUACUGAAAAGGUAUU
rnacentral:lncRNA from 1 species